AGCGCAGGUGGGAAAGUAAGUCAGUCUUAAAAGUGCGGGGCUCAACCCCGUGAGGGGAUCGAAACUACUUUUCUUGGGUGCAGGAGAGGAAAGCGGAAUUCCUAGUGUAGCGGUGAAAUGCGUAGAUAUUCGGAGGAACACCAGUGGCGAAGGCGAUCUUCUGGUCUGUUUCUGACACUCAGACGCGACAGCUAAGGGUAUAAACGG
rnacentral:rRNA from 1 species